AAAACGACUCUCGGCAACGGAUAUCUCGGCUCUCGCAUCGAUGAAGAACGUAGCGAACUGCGAUACUUGGUGUGAAUUGCAGACUCCCGUGAACCAUCGAGUCUUUGAACGCAAGUUGCGCCCGAAGCCAUUAGGCCGAGGGCACGUCUGCCUGGGCGUCACG
rnacentral:rRNA from 1 species